CUCAAAUUCUUUUAUGUUUUCUUAUUCUAACUGUAUGGACUUGGGCACAGUCAUUUACAAUCCAGGAGCCUCAGAUUUUCCAUCUGGAAAAGAAGAAAGAUUUCUACCUCAUUUUGAAUACUGGUAUUAAAUGAGUUCACUGUGUAGAAGAUGACUCAUGCAAAGUAACAUCUCAUCUGUUCCCCUACUGAUUAACUUCCAACCUUAAAAGUCGCUUACUCUGGAUGGAUUUCCUCCAAAAUCCGGCAACAACAACAUGCAGUAGGAAUACUUGUAUUUUUCUCCUAGGAUCUUCCAGGCUUACAGGAUGAGACUUCUGGAAAAUAGAGCCUGGAAAGGCUAACAGACUGUUGGAGAGCAGGGCAGACAACUAUCCAUACUCUUCUGGUUCCUGUUUUGAAGUGUUACCCUGGUCUCUGUAAUGCCAGUUGGAAUUCAUGGUUCAAGCAUCUUUACUGACUGCAAAUGGACUCUCCGCAUGCUGUGUAUGGAAUAUGUGUGUUUCUCCUUACCUCCAAGUGCGUUGGGAGGUGAUCACAUCAUAAGACUGGAGCCUUCAUGAGCAGGAUUUGUGCUUUUCUGCUUCUGUGAUUUUUCGCCCCAAUCCAUAACAUAAGUUUACAGAAGGAAGAAAGUCAUCAGUGAGAAAGCAGACCUUCAGCAGACACCAUAGACUCUGAAAUUGUGAGAAAUAAAUUUCUGUCAUUUGUAAAACUCUCAGCAUAUG
rnacentral:lncRNA from 1 species